CCUACGGGUGGCAGCAGUGGGGAAUAUUGCGCAAUGGGCGAAAGCCUGACGCAGCGACGCCGCGUGAGGGAUGAAGGUCUUCGGAUCGUAAACCUCUGUCAUCAGGGAAGAACGGUCACUGUGCUAAUCAGCAGUGAAUUGACGGUACCUGCAAAGGAAGCACCGGCUAACUCCGUGCCAGCAGCCGCGGGAAUACGGGGGGUGCGGGAGUUAAUCGGAAUUACUGGGCGUAAAGCGCUCGUAGGCGGUAUGUCAAGUCAGCGGUAAAAUCGCGGGGCUAAACCUCGCUCCGCCGUUGAAACUGGCGGUCUUGAGUGGUCGAGAAGUAUGCGGAAUGCGCGGUGUAGCGGUGAAAUGCAUAGAUAUCACGAAGAACUCCGAUGGCGAAGGCGG
rnacentral:rRNA from 1 species